AGCUCGUAGUUGGAUUUCUGCCGAUAGUUGGCGCUCCAUCCUUAGUGGUGAGUAGACGUCAAACUGCCGGCAUCUUCCUGGGGAGUAGUGAUGCACUUAACUGUGUGUCCUAUUAGCCAGGACUUUUACUUUGAGGAAAUGAGAGUGUUCCAAGCAGGCGUACGCCGUGAAUGUGUUAGCAUGGAAUAAUAGCAUCGGACCUCGAGCCAAAGCUGUUGGAUCCUUGGAACGAGGUAAAGGUGAAUAGGGAUUGUUGGGGGCAUUCGUAUUUAACUGUCAGAGGUGAAAUUCUUGGAUUUGUUGAAGACGAACUACUGCGAAAGCAUCUGCCAAAGAUGUUCUCAUUGAUCAAGAACGAAAGUUAGGUGAUCGAAGACGAUCAGAUACCGUCCUAUUUUUUAACCAUAAACUAUGCCAACUGGAGAUAGGAGGGCGUUAAAUUGGUGACACCUUCUGCAUCUUGAGAGAAAUCAAAGUCUUUGGGUUCCGGGGGGAGUAUGGUCGCAAGGCUGAAACUUAAAGGAAUUGACGGAAGGGCACCACCAGGAGUGGAGCCUGCGGCUUAAUUUGACUCAACACGGGGAAACUUACCAGGUCCAGACAUAGUGAGGAUUGACAGACUGAUAGCUCUUUCGAGAUUCUAUGGGUGGUGGUGCAUGGCCGUUCUUAGUUGGUGGAGUGAUUUGUCUGGUUAAUUCCGUUAACGAGCGAGACCUUAACCUGCUAAAUAGGUUUACGGAAUUUCGUAUUCUGUUGAACCUUCUUAGAGGGACGUCGCGUGUCUAACGCUAGGAAGUGUGAGGCAAUAACAGGUCUGUGAUGCCCUUAGAUGUUCUGGGCUGCACGCGCGCUACACUGAUGCGUUCAACGAGUUGUUUCCUGCUCCGGAAGGAACGGACAACCUUGUGAAAGCGCAUC
rnacentral:rRNA from 1 species